CUGUUUGAAUGAUUUCUCCUCCUCCAUCACUAAGGUCUGCUUCCCCUGUUUGAAUGAUUUCUCCUCCUCCACCACUAAGGUCUGCUUCCCCUGUUUGAAUGAUUUCUCCUCCUCCACCACUAAGGUCUGCUUCCCCUGUUUGAAUGAUUUCUCCUCCUCCACCACUAAGGUCUGCUUCCCCUGUUUGAAUGAUUUCUCCUCCUCCACCACUAAGGUCUGCUUCCCCUGUUUGAAUGAUUUCUCCUCCUCCACCACUAAGGUCUGCUUCCCCUGUUUGAAUGAUUUCUCCUCCUCCACCACUAAGGUCUGCUUCCCCUGUUUGAAUGAUUUCUCCUCCUCCACCACUAAGGUCUGCUUCCCCUGUUUGAAUGAUUUCUCCUCAUCCACCACUAAGGUCUGCUUCCCCUGUUUGAAUGAUUUCUCCUCCUCCACCACUAAGGUCUGCUUCCCCUGUUUGAAUGAUUUCUCCUCCUCCACCACUAAGGUCUGCUUCCCCUGUUU